AACAGUCAGCCCGCUGCACGCUCGCUAAUGAGCAUAUCGUGCGAGCGUUAUCGUGCGAUGGAAACAGCUCGAUGAAUAAUAUCCACAAACGAGAAGUUACGAGAUCGUGCGAGAAUACUGGAAGGGAUGACGUAGACUCUAUUUUCUCGCGCAUGCUCAGUUUUUGAGCAGCCAUGUUUGGGCGCUGAGAUGUACACAGGCCCUCAUAGAAGUUGUGACCCCUAGCCCUCCUCUUCCAAUUGACCCCCCCCCCCCUGAUCUUGACCUCAAGGAUGCAUCCUAGAAACAAGGUGCGGAGCUGUACACAGUCCUUCCUACAACUUGUAGAAGAUCCCGCACAGGCUUCACAACCAGACAUGUGACCCCUAGCCCUCUUCCAACUGAUCGCCCCCUUGAUCUUGACCUCAAGAUGCAACCUGGAAACAAAAUUAAGCAUUGUGAUUUUAUCACCAUGAGGGAUGAAGUAGAAAAUUCAGCCUGUACAUCACAUCAAUCGUUCUUGCUGCUGGGGUGAAGGAUAAGUUGGCUCCUUGGCCCCAUUUAUGUACUAUGAAAUCUAAUGCCCUUGUAGCUAUCAUUACGGAACGUAAUACCGAUAUCUAAAUGACAGACUGUAUUUGUAGUGGUUGCAGAAAAAAAUAUGUUAGAAAAUUGAAAAACCCAAAAGACACGUAAAAAAG
rnacentral:lncRNA from 1 species